ACGAUCCUCUGAGCUCAGUACUCUAGGAAAACUCACUUACAAUCCCAUAAAACCCCCAAAUUUGAUAUGAAUACGGAACAUGAGACGAGCACAAAGGAAUACCAAGUUAGUUCAAAUACGAAUUUCCGACGCAUGCGCAGACGAGGCCUUCCGUCAGUCCUCUGCCAGACCUUGACGGGUGAGGAGCUCCGCCAGGCCGCCUCUCCCCCCUGCCCUGCCUCCUCUCCUCCCGCUGGGUACCGUGGCACCACCAGGCCUUGAAGAUGAACUUAAAUCCGCAGUUCCAGCAGAUCGGAGAGACCUUUGUCAAGCAGUACUACCUGAUCUUUGACGGCGAGAGAGAGGGGCGGGAAAAACUGGUCAACUUCUAUCACGCUGACUCAGCAAGGAAGUGACCAAUGGUAGCCCAGGAGCUACAUCCAACAUUUUAAAGACAAUUGGCUUGACACUUGCUGCUGAAAUAUAGAUGUAGGCAGAACUAUCGUUAAUGUCCUUUGAGGGAGUCCAGGUCCAAGGAGCAGCUGCAAUCCUAGAUAAAAUUAAGACUUUGAGUUUUAACAAAAUCGCACGAGCCAUCACGACUGUGGACUGCCAGCCCACGUUUGACGGCGGCGUCUUGG